rnacentral:lncRNA from 1 species
CUGUGAUGCUGAGUCACAUUCCUUUAUUGAUGAAGAAGAGAGAAAACUAUUAAUUGCAUACCAAGGACAUUUUCUACAAAGGAAAUUGGAGGACGCUGGCAAUUAAUUGAUUUGUUUUUCAAACUGACCAAUUCUGAGCCCAAUAUUGAAGCACAAUGGCUACCUGCACCUGGGUGCAAGUGUGGGAGAAACCUGAUCCUGAGAAGACGACACUACAUGGGCCACCUUGGGCUCCCUCUGACUUUAGUCAUGCCCAUGUGAGCUGUAUGCAGGCAUGCAAGGCAGUCUGGGUUUGGACUAUCAAACACUCACAACAAACAACUCACUAAUAAGCUGCAGACCAAGAUGUUCUUUUUUCAGAGACUAUUCAAUAAAUGUUUCCAAAUAAGAAGUUUCUAUGGGAAAAACCUAGCCUUUUCCUACAGACAGCUCACAUUCCGGAAAAAAGGCAACAUUGCUCACAUGAAUUAUUCAUCACAAAUUACUCACCCAGUUCUUGCAGCCAGUGGUGCUUUUCCUCUACCUGGAGCUGUAGAAAAGCCAAGUUGUGUCCCUUCAGAGAGAGGGGAAGGGUCAUCUCAACCAACCGUGAGACAUCUGGCCAACAUAAGUGGCUCUUCGCACCUCCUAUGACAGACACAGUUUGCUGUGGGAUCUGUCUGCCAUCAGGAUGUUGGGCGUCCCCCUCCCUCAUCCAGCCAGGCACACCUGGGUAAGCAGUGCUUACUUGGGUGAGGAGGCAGCUUCCGCGCUCAGCUAAGCUGAGUUGGACAGCGUGGUGGAGAUGAGGGUAACGUGAGAGCUAUGGCAGGAGGAGGCAUGGUUCUCACAUUUGCAGUGCACUGCCAAGUGAAAGAAGGGUUCACUAUGAGACAACCUGUGGCUGGGAAAGGGACUAGCUCCACUCUUGGCUGCUUGUCAAAGCUAGCUAUUUUGCAAUAUUAAUAAAACCAGUGAGUCCAUCUUCUGCAAGACAAGUUCUAAUUUCUCCAGCAAAUUCAGCAGCAGACAGUCAUGCCAAGACAGGCGGUCGGUGCAGCUUCUUCGGAGCUUUGAAUCUGCAGGAGAACAUACAGGUACAACCAAAAUAAACAAGAAAAGUAAAACUCACAGCACAGCCUGUGUGGAGGCACGCAGGGAGGAACUAGAGGCAUUGCACAAGUGCGUGCUCAAAUACCUCACCAGCAUCGCAUGCUCAGGACAGCCACAGAGCAGCCACAGGCUAGAGCUGCAUAGACGCAGAGAUGAAGGUGUCUUUGGGGCUCACGAUGGGAUUUUCCUUGUGGCUUCUUCUGUGAAUGUCCCUUCUGCAGCAGAACACAAGAUAACGGGACUGAGCCGCUGCCUCUGGAAAGGCUUCUGGGGAGGCACAGGGUGCUUCUGAAGCCACAGCAGCGUUAAAUGAUGUGUUUGCAUGUACGUGUGUUUGUACAGACACACCAUAUUUUCCAUGUCUACAACACUGCUGUGUAUCAGAAGUCCCUUUUGCACAGAAGUGGUUUGUCUGCUCAGUACUAACCUUCAAGAAGCCAUAUACUGUGUUCCCAAUACAUUGUUGUAGAAAGAAAAUCAGAAACAGCAAGUAGCAGCAAAUCAGCAAACCAGGGGACGAAGCACCUGAAGUUCCAGAUCAGUGAAACUUCACUGCAGACCAGAGCAACGCUUGGGAGGGUUUUCCUCUUCAAAACGCAGCUCAUCCACAGGUGGUAUCUGCCACACUUGGUAGAAUGCCAUUGUUCAUCAUCAACACCAAAGUCAUAAGAGAAAACAAAUACAGCCUUCACAGGGAACUCCGCAAGGUCCCAGCGCUGUGAUGGCAGCAGCCAGGCUGCUCACUGGCAUAUAACAAUGUCCAUCUCCCAGUCCAAAUUUGCCAAGCUUCUGUGUGCCAUCAAGUGAGGCAUCCCAGAGCUUCAUUGCAAAUGCACACCACCUUCCUUGGGGUCAAAGCAUUAACCUUCAUUAGGGUUUUACAAUAAAUACGGCUUGUAUAAAUUCAGAGUUAUGUCCUUCUUUCUUUAUACAUCCAGAAGUCUUGUCUGCUCCCAUAAAGCUAUCACCCAUGACUUCCAAUUCCCAAGACACAGCCAUUCAUCAUGUAAUAGCCCCGAUGCAUGCCAUUCGAGGUGUCAGGCAUUAUUCUGCAUCUCUUGCCACACUUUUCAGUGCAGCCAAGGUGAGGUUUUAGAGCAUCUCCUCAGGCUGCACUGCACGGAGCUCUGCACCUGAGACAAAGCAGCACAUCAUCACAUCUUCAAAAGCAGGGCACACAUUUCUCUAACAGACAGCAUGUUAAGUGGAUAUUAUUCUUCAGCACUGCGAGUGCAUACUGCAACUAGUUUAAAAGGAAUUACUGGCAGUGAGGCAACCCUGGACUUGAGCAUUUUUGUUUCGUCUUUCUCUGAACCUGACAACAGAACAAUGCAGACUUUCAGACUUACCAGACUGCUGAGGUCCGUGUGCCACGGGUGUACACGAAAGCCAAUUUGAAGAGAUUAAGUGGCAAUUUGAACCAGCAGUUCCUCAGAAGUGAUGUUCUCCCUUGGCAGAGGUCCCUCCAGCAGAAGACGUGAGCGUGCGUUCCAGUACAUGCAUUCCAGUGAACGACGCUUCUUGCCAUCUUCCUCCUCCUCCAGCGUCUUUCAUCUGCUUGAAAUUUAGAGGGUGAUUUAGCAGACCCAAAUUUGGCUCUUAAUGAAGGCAAUCUGACUUGUCAAUCUCUCCUGUGGCUGUUGCAAGAAUCCUUGAUAAUAACUUGGGUGGGAUCCACCCUCAGAAGGCAGUGCCUAACACUAGGCCAUCUGGACACCCACCAUGUGCCAAACACCAUCGUUCACAUUUAGUCCAGCUUCCUGCUCAAGUCAAAUGGUAUUUUGAUGAGUGAC